GUGGAAACGAGAAUAAAGCGUGAAGGAUAACGUUGCGUCAGCAACGGCCCGUAGGGCGAGGCGAAGCCGAGUCAUCCUGCACAACCCACCA
rnacentral:sRNA from 1 species